CGAACGCUGGCGGCAGGCCUAACACAUGCAAGUCGAGCGGGCACCUUCGGGUGUCAGCGGCGAACGGGUGAGUAACACGUGAGCAACCUGCCCCUGGCUCUGGGAUAGCCUCCGGAAACGGGGAUUAAUACCGGAUAUGACUCUGGUCUGCAUGGACCGGGGUGGAAAGUUUUUCGGCCGGGGAGGGGCUCGCGGCCUAUCAGCUUGUUGGUGAGGUAACGGCUCACCAAGGCGACGACGGGUAGCCGGCCUGAGAGGGCGACCGGCCACACUGGGACUGAGACACGGCCCAGACUCCUACGGGAGGCAGCAGUGGGGAAUAUUGCACAAUGGGCGAAAGCCUGAUGCAGCGACGCCGCGUGAGGGAUGACGGCCUUCGGGUUGUAAACCUCUUUCAGCAGGGAAGAAGCGCAAGUGACGGUACCUGCAGAAGAAGCGCCGGCUAACUACGUGCCAGCAGCCGCGGUAAUA
rnacentral:rRNA from 1 species